UUCGGCUCGUAAAACUCUGUUAUUAGGGAAGAACAAAUGUGUAAGUAACUGUGCACAUCUUGACGGUACCUAAUCAGAAAGCCACGGCUAACUACGUGCCAGCAGCCGCGGUAAUACGUAGGUGGCAAGCGUUAUCCGGAAUUAUUGGGCGUAAAGCGCGCGUAGGCGGUUUCUUAAGUCUGAUGUGAAAGCCCACGGCUCAACCGUGGAGGGUCAUUGGAAACUGGGAAACUUGAGUGCAGAAGAGGAAAGUGGAAUUCCAUGUGUAGCGGUGAAAUGCGCAGAGAUAUGGAGGAACACCAGUGGCGAAGAAGACUUUCUGGUCUGUAACUGACGCUGAUGUGCGAAAGCGUGGGGAUCAAACAGGAUUAGAUACCCUGGUAGUCCACGCCGUAAACGAUGAGUGCUAAGUGUUAGGGGGUUUCCAACCCUUAGUGCUGCAGCUAACGCAAUAAGCAGUCCGCCU
rnacentral:rRNA from 1 species